GGGCCGGUAGCUCAACGGUUAGAGCUUUUGCCUUUUAAGCAAAGUGUUCUGGGUUCGAAUCCCAGCCGGCUCA
rnacentral:tRNA from 1 species